UUAAAUGUGACAGCACUGCCAGCAGGUACCUGUGGCCGCCUAAAGCACCACCCAGCUUCUUCUCUUGUGAGGUGGUGCGCCUGCCUUCGCUAUGCCCUCAGGCAGGACGGGCACUGCCUGCUUUCUCCUCUCUACAGUGGCAAGUGUCUUAGGAAGAGCAGCUCUCCUGCUCCAGACAGGCCCAGCCUGGUGGGCCUGAGGGUAGCAGACCCCGGUACAUGAGUCUCGAUAUUGCUCUUUCUUACUGGGUAAGUCUGAGCUCUGAGAACUUCCGGACACUCAAGAGACCAGCUGGUCUGUUCCAAACCCGGUGAGGAGGCUGGUGAGGGUCACACUCAGGGCAGGCUGCCCAGGCCAAGUUGCUGAGCCACAGGGAGGUUCUGCAGAUGAUGGUCUCCAUAAAGCAGGCACUUGUGGCUGCCUGAAGCGCUAGGUGACCCCAUUCUUCCUGAUGCUGAAGAAGACGUCACACAUCCACUUCCUGGAAUCCAGAAGCCUUUGUUUCCUCCUCGGACAGAGGAAGUCUCAGUGGGUACCAAGUUCAUCUGACGUUUCCAGCCUUUGUCCUCUGACUGGGAUUCAGCUAUGUGUUCCUGGCCUGGCAGCAAUCCUCCUGUCUCAGCCUUCUGACCAUUAAGAUUACAGGUUUGAGCCACCACACCACCUUUCAAAGCACGACUCUCCAGUGUGCUGUCCUGGCUUGGCAGUUCUUUCAACUAUCCUGGGUAGAUGACUAUAUGUGCCAAUCUGAUGUCCCCAGCGAUCCUGUGCUCCAGAUAAGCACAAGCCAUUGGUCUGACUGGAGACCACUACUUUCUCAGCUCCUAUAAAUACCCUGAUGAUGUACCUUCAGGAACAGACAUUAGAAUCCCUGGCAGAGUUGUUCAAGUCCCCCCCCCAACCUAUUUCUGUAUAGGAACCUACACAAUAACUAUAUAAGAUCCCAGUUCAAAUGGAAUUAAAGCCAUAUUUCAACAACACUGAGAAGAAGAGUUCAUGAAAACCUAGAAGAGCUUUUAGUUCCUGAGAUGUGUCCUAUGUAUCAGGCAAGCCUACUUAUAAGCUCAUUGCAGGUAACUUUUGGUGGCAAGUCACUCCAUCUACCAGAGAUGCUGCCUGGAUUCUUCCUGUUCUUCACACAGCAGAACUAGAUAUUAUCAAGAUACUACUGGGUCCUUUUUGGCUUUGGCCUGAAGGUGGCUCUUACAUUCACUUGAACACUAUGUUUUGCUGAAACCUUACAUGUUUUCUCCAUGAGCCUUCCCAUGUCUUCCUGCCUCUUCUUAGACAUGACAGAGAGGGAAACAAGUUGCUUUUUUAGGCUUCAAAAGAUUGCCGAACUGUAUUUUUGUUGUUGUUGUUCCAUUUUCAAUAACUCAAAACUCUUUGAGAUCCAUUACAUCAACCUUGGCAAGUAGGUAGAGCAAGCAAAUCAGGCUCCCCUAGUUUGGAACCAAAAUGAGGAUCAUCCACACACCCUCUUUCUAUCUUUAUCAGGACUAUAUUUUUUCCUUUUAGCUAGAUGAUGUAUACUUUUAACAUUCCAGGAUAAAGGUGUCUGUGAUAUGAAAGUCAUAGUAAACGA
rnacentral:lncRNA from 1 species